rnacentral:misc_RNA from 1 species
ACUAUUAUGAAGGCAAUAUUGUUCCACUUGACUGAUUUUUCCAUACGUAUACAUGUCAAAAGAUACUUCUAGAACAAUUUGGUUCCAGACCUCCAGUACUAUGUUUUAGAAUUCCUAGCUUUGCUUCAUAAUUUUCAGCUUUAGAAAGUUAAAUUUUAUGGUCGCAAGAUUCUUGGUCAAGAGUUUAGUUAUUUCUUUUAUCUCGUUCACUUAUUUAAGAGUUGCUUAGUUUUGCAAGUCUUUUGCCAAUUUAGACUUGGAUUUUUGAAGUCUUUUUCAUGUAUUGAGCAUUAUUUAGUUCAGUUUAAACAAAUAAGUAUAAAUGAGAAAAAGAAUA